UCCCUGGUGGUCCAGUGGUUAAGAGUCUGCCUUGCAAUGCAGAGUGCACAGGUUCGAUCCCUGGUCAGGGAA
rnacentral:tRNA from 1 species